rnacentral:misc_RNA from 1 species
GAUGAAGAACGUAGUGAAAUGCGAUACUUGGUGUGAAUUGCAGAAUCCCGUGAACCAUCGAGUCUUUGAACGCAAGUUGCGCCCGAAGCCAUUAGGCCGAGGGCACGCCUGCCUGGGCGUCACACGUCGUUGCCCCCCCAUCUACUCCUUCGGGAUUGCGGGGGGCGGAUGAUGGCCUCCCGUGCGCCUCGUCGCGCGGUUGGCAUAAAUACCAAGUCCUCGGCGACGCACGCCACGACAAUCGGUGGUUGCGAAACCUCGGUUGCCCGUCGUGUGCGGUCGUCGCGCAUCGAGGGCUCGAAAAAAUUGCCGGGCUCCGGCUCGGCUUUCAACGCGACCCCAGGUCAGGCGGGGUUACCCGCUGAAUUUAAGCAUAUCAAUAAGCGGAGGA